GCAUCGGGGCGAGGAGCAAUCCUUGCCGCCGGCGACCGGCGCACGGGUGAGUAACGCGUAUGCGACCUGCCCGUUGCAGGGGGAUAAUCGGGAGAAAUCCCGUCUAAUACCGCGUAACGCCGCGGGGCUGCAUGGCCCUGCGGCCAAAGGGAGCGAUUCCGGCAACGGAUGGGCAUGCGUGACAUUAGCUAGUUGGCGGGGCAACGGCCCACCAAGGCGACGAUGUCUAGGGGUUCUGAGAGGAAGGUCCCCCACACUGGUACUGAGACACGGACCAGACUCCUACGGGAGGCAGCAGUGAGGAAUAUUGGUCAAUGGGCGCGAGCCUGAACCAGCCAAGUCGCGUGAGGGAUGACGGCCCUACGGGUUGUAAACCUCUUUUGUCGGGGAGCAAAUUCCGUUACGUGUAACGGAGUCGAGAGUACCCGAAGAAAAAGCAUCGGCUAACUCCGUGCCAGCAGCCGCGGUAAUACGGAGGAUGCGAGCGUUAUCCGGAUUUAUUGGGUUUAAAGGGUGCGUAGGCGGACUGUCAAGUCAGCGGUAAAAUACGGGGGCUCAACCUCCGCCCGCCGUUGAAACUGACGGUCUUGAGUGGGCGAGAAGUAUGCGGAAUGCGUGGUGUAGCGGUGAAAUGCAUAGAUAUCACGCAGAACUCCGAUUGCGAAGGCAGCAUACCGGCGCCCAACUGACGCUGAAGCACGAAAGCGUGGGUAUCGAACAGGA
rnacentral:rRNA from 1 species